rnacentral:lncRNA from 1 species
AGCCUUAUUAUAAGUAUUCAGAGGCAGCUUCCAAGACCCAGCUGCAGGAAGUUCGGCCUCACGGCAAGUGGGAAGUCAUUGCCUCUCUCUGGCAUCCAGCGAAGCCUGUUUCCACAGCUCCCCAGACACGUGCUCAACUCUCCUUCCUGCAGAGGAUUUUUUUCUGCCAGGACUACUUUCUGCUCCUCCUCACUUUGCCUGCCCACGGCUCUGGCUCACCUUGGAAGAGGAAAAGCACAUUUUUGAGGAGCCUACUCCCUGCGUGCGUGAGGACUCUGCAGCCUGUCAAGCAGAUACUGAGUUUGGAGCUGCGCUCACUCAGCGCGAUCAACGUGCACGGUUCCCAGCGCCGCCCCGCGCCUCCCCCUCCAGGCUCGAGCUCGGCCCGGGCUUCAGGGGCACCGGGUCGGCUUGUUCUCCCCUCCGCCGCAGUGUCCCCGCGUCGUCGACGGCGUGGAGAGCUGUUCUGACAGAGCGAGAGAAGCCCCGCGGGGGUCAAGGAGGGCCGCAGCUUCUUCUCCAGCUGGGCUUUUGCAAAGAGCCUCCUAUGGGCUUUUCUUGGCGGAUCUCGCUCUUCACUGGCGUCCCGGAGGCCGCCCCCGCCUGUUUUCAAGUCUGGAGAAAUUGGGCGUGGGGGGGAGGAGCGGCGGGGUGCGGUGAUACCCUGAGUGCUCUGCCUCUGAGGAGCUGUUGCCGGUAGGGGGUG